rnacentral:tRNA from 1 species
GGGAAGUGGCUCAGUGGUUAAGCACCUACCUAGCAAGCAAGGACCCUGGGUUCAAUCUCCAACACUACCCA